GGAAGGGAAAGUGGUCAAGAACAGGUAUGUGAGGGGUGGGUGGUGGGAUGGAGAGGCUCUGCCCUUGCAUCACAUCUUGCUAAGCAAGAAUGGGGCUCUGCAAGGCAGUGCAGGGUGUCAGUUUAUGGAUCUGGAGAGUCUUUAGAGCUGCCAUCUUGUUUUAAACUGGGUGUCCUCUGCGUCAGCCUGAACGGGAGCGACAGCAAUAAAUCAUGUAUCCAACAGCAGCAUUCAAGAUGUUAGUUGUGUUUUGGUAGCACGGGGGCUCGGGGUUUGUGGCACUAGAUGCUCUGUAAGACCAAAGUAGGAAAUGUUUCACACUCGGGGUAUUUUACAGUUUGAGUCUCAGAAGAUGUAUUAGCACUUGGAAGGAUGACAAUGAAGCCAGCAAUGAGAACUUGGGUUUAUAUAGGCCAGAUAUUUGCACAGUCACAAUAGAUGAUUCCUCUGCUUCUCUUGGGUAUUUCUAAUCUCCAAGUAUGGUAGUCCAAGUGCUUUACAAGUCACUGAGUCUGAAAAAGACUUGACCAAACAUUUUUCAGUGGAAAUAUCUCCACUCCUAUGCAAUGACAUUAGCUGAAGAUACAUGGAAACAGAAAUCAGUUCAAUUCUCAGCCCUUGUGAGCUGGGUAGUGCAUUUAGCUGUGGAGCUGUUCUUCAGGUCAGGGCAUAAUCAUAUCAUGUCAGUCUCCCUGAAAUGGCUGUCUUGGGUUAUUUCCAAGGGUUGCAAGGAGUUCCCUGUCUGCUGGCACUAGACAUGUGGCCUUAUUGAAAUGUCUCCUUCAACAUCCAGAGGCUGCGGUGUGUCACACUGAUACAUGUUUUUACUGUAACACUCACUCAACAGCAGCUCUCUGUGACAGUGCUUUUCUAAUGCACCGACAUCCAAGGAGAUGGAUGCCUGUAUAAUGUUACUUUCGUUUGCAUAGCUGGUCUGAUAAAAUGAAUAUCCUCCCACAAAGACAUUAUGUGAGUGGCUUAUGACAGCAUGCAGGAUUAUGAACUUCAGUGCUUAUUCUACCCAGGAUACAUACAUCCCAUGGAUGUCCUGUUGCAAGCAUUUAUUCUGGAAAUGAAUGGCUGUAUGUGGUGUGCACAAAAGGAUGAAUCACUUGUGCUUGGUCACAAAUGUGAAGGAAGAGGUACUCAGGGUCUGUCCGAGGUUAGAGGAUAAGCAGGGGAAAUUUUCAAUGCAAUAAACCUAAAGAAUAAUUAGCGAUUUCUAGGAUCAUUUUGGUGGCUUCUUUGGGUUGGAAAUGCCUUCAAAAGCACUUAGCAAAAUUUUCUGUCUAGUCAAUACUAUUUCAUAUGGGUAGCAUUUGCUAGGCAAACAGAUGUGAGAUUUUUAUGCAGUCAGCUUCUGUCUCUCCCGCUAUCAGGCAUGGUCUUUGCUUGUUUGUGCACAAUGCCAUGGUUUCUCAUCCACUUUGUGUCUGAGUACACUACCUGCAGCUGGUCAACCUGAUUUGGGAUUUACCGUGUGCCUGCCAGCCCGGAGAAGACAUGAGCCCUGCUAGAGGAUGCACUUGUAAGGGUUCACCAGUGACAGAGGACCAAGCGUACAUGCAAAUCUCACUUCUUUGUGUGAGGUGAUCUUCAAUGCUGUGGGAGGAGAAAAUAAAAAGAUAUGUGGAAAGCACAAAAUGAACGAGUCAGCUAUACUGUGGCAAACCAUAAUCCGGCCAGGAGAAUACAGGAAGAGAAGGACUUUUUAAGCUUGACUUUUUUUUUUUUAAUUUUUAAAAAAUAUAUGCUUCUCUGAACAGCUAUUUUAUAAUGAAACAAUAAUUGCAAAGUUGUUUAUGGUGCCCAUAAACACACAUAUACCUAUACAUGGUGUAUAAGGGCCUGACCCAAGUCAAUUUGGUCUGCAGAGUUGUGUGCAAGCUUGUACUGGCUGGGGGAUUUGCAGUCUCUUUCAUAUUGCAUAAGCAGUAUUUGUAGAGGUUACCUUUUGCCCAGAAAGGUUAAUUCCUCUAGGCUCCUGCUCUGGUAAAGGGGAACAGAGGAGGUCCUCCUAGGUGCAAUCUGGAGCGGCAGUGGUAUGGGAGAGCUUUUCUAUCAACAGUGAGGGUCGAGGCUGCUGUGAGCCUGAGUCAGCACCCUUCACAGGGAGAUGUGAACUCGGAGAGGCCAAGUUGUUGUUUUCUGUUUUUUUUUUUUUUUUUUUUUUUUAGAGAGACAUGCAUUUGAAGCUAAGCUUCUAAACUCCUAAUUCAGCGUUAAAAACAGACACCUGGCUGUCCCAGCAGCAGGUUGCAGAGGGGCUCUCCUGCUUGCUGCAGGGUGAUCUGAGGUCCUGGGGCUGUGCUGCGUUUUCUCCCGCCUAGAUCCACUCAAAGCUUUGGCUCUGUUUCACAGCUCUUCAUGGAAAUGACUCCUCAUUCUGGUAGGGGUUCAGUCUGUUUCUCAAAUGAUAAUGUAAUCCAGACAUGAACUGGCAGAAAUGUCAUGAGACUUCUCGUUCUUGUGUAUUUCCAGUAUGACUGAGCUCAAAAUAUCCUGAGAAAGGCAGGCUUGGCAUUUUUUCUGAUGAACUGACACUGACCUGAUAGUUUAUUGCGGUUUCUUCCCCAAAAUAUGGUUACAUAGGAAAGAGACCAAAGGAUCCCUUUCCCAUCCCUAGCUUGUUUUCCAGCUGUUAUAAUAUUAAAAACUGUUAUUUUUCCACCCUGUAUUUUAAUAAUUGCUGCUCUAUCAAAAUACAGUUGAAGACCACCUUUAAGCAUAUGUUAAUGUUAACUUAAAACCUAUCUACCUCUGAACCAUGUGUAAGAUAAAUUUCAGGAGUCUUAGUGCACCAGGUAGGAGAAGAAAAAUGGAAGUUUAAUGUAGCUGUCUGAGUACAAAUUCAGAGGGGUCCUUCCUCUCUCAAUAUAUGGGCAGCCUAGCAUGACUUACCUCCUUCUGUGUUGGCACUUAAAUUUACAUCCCAGAGUUGGGCAGAGUGAAUUGCUGCCAUUAUUAUAUUUGUGCCUUGAGACAACAGAACCCUACUUUCUCUCUGCCUCCCUGUUUUGCUCCAGUUGCAGAUAGCGAUUCCUGAUAUAUCCCGAAUGAUGGAGGGACAGAAGGUGUUUCACAGGCUUUUUUCAGUCUUGUCUGUAUGCAAAGUGGAGUACUCAUGUGGCACAAGAACAGCCAUUGGGAAAGAGACUCUGAUGAUGGGCUGGGGUCAAGUACUGUGUUUUCUGAAUCCUCUCACAGCUGGGCAACCUGUGUGCCUGACUUAGUGAGCACAGUUGUUGUGGCCAUCAGGUGAUAGAGAGGGACCUUAACACAGAUCCUGGCCCCUUUGUGUGUAAUCUGCCACUUUUUGGAGGAGGAAAGGCUAAUCUUGACUUUUCUGCCUAACCUAGACAAACUUCCUCAAGAAAGAGAUCCCCUCUUGUGGAAACCAACUAGGAGACACAGGUAAAAAAGAUGACAUAAUUUCUUCAUAUGUCUUUCCAAUGUAGUGAUAAAUAGGUACAGAAAGGUGCAAGUGAUCAAUCUGAAGUCUUGCAGGAAAACUGUAGUAGAGCAAAGAAAAAAUCCUGCUCUUCACCCUCAUAGCACUGACCUCCCUGUGAGCUUCUUGUUUUCAAUCCCUGAACCAGAAUGGCAGCAUUUCACACCACAUAUAUCCAUAUUUUUUUGGAAGAUAUAAGGUAUGAGGCACUGGAAGGCCAGAUUUGCUGUUUUUUUCCAUUUGGGCUGCAUUUGCUGUCUGUCUUUUCUAAUCUUGGCCAGGCAUUUCUGCUGUUCCCAGAUGUUGGUCCUCAGCACCUAACUGCCAAGACACCAGCACAGAUGGGGUCAUAGGUGCUGCUCGGAGAGGAGUUUGGGAAGAAGCUUUCUUCCAGUUUCUACUUCUCCCAAACAUUUCUCAAUGGCAGUGGCAUGUGUGUCACCUAUGGAGGGCUGAGCUGCUUCUUCCACAGAGAAGGAAGUGUGGGAGACAAGCAGGUGAACCUUGUCCUACUGGUUUUGAGCUAGUGGCUGGGCUGAGCUAAUAUUUUGUAUAUGCCUGAUAUAAAGUCAAAUGCAACACUCAGUCAAACAUAUAACUUUAUUUUUAAAAUCAGCUUAGCUUAGGUGUGUUGGUAAUAUCUGGCAAUGACGCUCCACAGAGAGUUGACCUGCUGCAUGCUUGUUAGAAAUGCAGAAAGGACCAUCAGUGCCAAGGCUGCAAAAGCUUUGUACUAUAAAAUAUCAUAGUGUAGCAGGUACAUCGCAAAUCAAUACUACAGAAGAGUUUGAAAUACACUGUGUAGAAAUAUUUACAGACCAUGGAGAUUCAGAAAUAUUGCUGGUGUGGUUGGGGGAAUCAAUACAUGAGGGUAAUUACGAAAUGCCACCUUCUUCUGAGGCAAAAAAUAUAGGUCCCCAUCCUACCUUAAAAGCAGUUACUGUGGACCUUUAUAAAGUUUCACUGAAACCAAUGGGAAAUUUGAGGGGUUUCUUUUCCUCAGCUGAGUUGUCUAACUGCACCCAGUAUUAGGUUACAGAAGUGGGUCCCUUCUAGUUAUUUUAAGGAAAAAAAAAAUCCCAGAAAACAGGAAAACUCUGAGAUGAUAAAUGGCUGGAGUAAUAAAUGUUUAAAACACAGAAAACUUUAGAAAAACCUCUAAAAACAGUUCCUCAGGUUUUCAUCUAGCUCCAGGUUUGAUUCUGGAAAUGCAGGGAUCAAAAUGAAGUAUGUCAUUUAGGAUUUCUUUUUUUCUUUGGAUUUCUGUAGGUCUUAUUUAGUUUUCCCUGCUAAAGCAGAUGUAGGGAUGAUAACACUUCUGAUGGUGUUUCAUUCAUCUCCUUCUAUGACACAGUGACUUGUUUAGUGGAUGAGGGAAAGGCGGUGGAUAUUGUCUACCUAGACUCCAGUAAGGCCUUUGACACUGUUUCCCACAGCAUUCUCCUGGAGAAGCUGGCAGCUCAUGGCCUGGAUGGGUGUACUCUGCAACGGAUAAAGAACUGGCUGGAUGGCUGGGCCCAAAAAAUUGUGGUGAACAGAGUUGAAUCCAGUUGAUGGUUGGUCACAAGUGGUGUUCCCCAGGGCUCAGUAUAGACGCCAGUUCUGUUUAAUCUCUUUAUCAGUGAUCUGGAUGAGGGGAUUGAGUGCACACUUAGUAAAUUUGCAGACAACACCAAGUUGGGUGGGACUGUUGACCUGCAGGAGGGUAGGAAGGCCAUACAGAGGGAUCUGGACUGGCUGGGUCAUUGGGCUGAGGCCAGUUGGAUGAGGUUCAACAAGGCCAAGUGCCGGGUCCUGUACUUGGGUCAUAACAACCCCAGGCAGUGCUACAGGCUGGGGUAAGAGUGGCUGGAAAGCUGCCUGGAGGAAAAGGACUUCAGGGUGUUGGUCAACAGCAGCUGAACAUGAGUCAGUAGUGUGCCCAGGUGGCCAAAAAGGCCAACAGCACCCUGGCUUGUGUCAGGAAUAGUGGGGCCAGCAGGACUAGAGAAGUGAUUGUGCCACUGUACUCGGUGCUGGUGAGGCCCCACAUUGAAUUCUGUGUUCAGUUUUUGGCCCCUCAUCAUCAGACAUUGAGGUGCUGGAGCAAGUUCAGAGAAGGGCAAUGAAGCUGGUGAGGGAUCUGGAGCACAAGUCUUGUGAGGAGCAGUUGAGGGAGCUGGGGCUGUUUAACCUGGAGAAAAGGAGGCUGAGGGGAGACUUCAUCACACCCUGCAACUACCUGAAAGGAGGUUGCAGCAUGGAGGGUGUUGGUCUGUUCUCCCAAGUAGCAAGUGAUAAGAUAAGAGGAAAUGGCCUCAAGUUGCACCAGGGGAGGUUUAGAUUGAUGAUUAAGAAAAAAAUUAUUCACUGAAAGAGUUGUCAGGCAUUGGAACAGGCUGCCCAGGGAAGUGGUGGAAUUACCAUCCCUGGAGGUGUUUAAAAGGCAUGUAGAUGAGGUUCUUGGGGACAUGGUUUAGAGAUGGACUUGACAGUGUUAGGUUAAUGAUUGGAUUCAAUCUUAAAGUUCUUUUCCAGCCAAUAUGAUUCUAUGAUUCUAUAUAGCCUCUACUCAUAGUUGCUGAAUGUGAGUUAUGUGGCCUGUCAAAUAUUUUGGAGAGACUGUAUUUAACUCUUUGGUAGGAGAAGGCAGCUCAUCCCUGCAGUAAACUUACAAGCAGGGUGGAGCUGGAGGCAGCCUGGCCUUGGCUGCUUCAGUUGCUAAAACUCUUUCACACUGUGCAGUAGUGUGGUCUGUGGUUGCUGUCUGGUAAAGUACGGCCUACAGAGGUCAGAUUCCAUGGAGUCCUUUGGUUCUGCAGACACAUGAGAACAUAACAAACAUCAAAUUUGUGCCUCUUCCAUUGGUCUGAAUUUUCUGGAGCAGGGAGAAUAUGGCCUUGAUACCUCCACUGAGAUAAACAAAAGCAAGUUUUAGCUAGUACACAUCAGAAAGUAACAUCUAUUGAGAUUAAUCUGAGCUUAAUGAAGGCUUCCUGACAUCUCCAGUCUCCAUGGCAGAGAGUGCUCUUGUGAUGGUUCUGUGCCAUUAAGCCAAGAGGGAAAUACAUUUUUGCAGGUGCUGCUGACCCCACAAAGGUGCUGGGGGAAUGCAACGCUGCUGUGUGCCCAUGCUGUGAGACAGGAGGAGAGGUCUCUGGGUACUUCCAGGAGAGCCAGUGGCAGUACUUCAUUGAGCAUCCUGCCGCCGUGUGAAGCUUCUCCCAUUAGAGCUGUCACUUUGGCAUUAGUUCUGUCUGACAGCAUGGCAGAGCUGCAGUGAGGUCAUCUACCAGCUAGUGCUCUGAUGUUGCCCAGUCAAGAUGGCACUGCUAGCCUGAUCGAAAUGGUGCCUCAGCAGAGUGUGUUGAAGGGAAGCCAUCUCCAGAGGAUGGAAAAGCCAAAGCUGUGAGGUGGACAGACUUACAAGAGAAAGGGGUGAGUUGUGGGCAUGUGUUGCACCAAGUCUCUUUAGAUGGUAGUUGAAUAAAGAGAAGUUACAGCAGAACCUGCAGGUUUGGAAGCAGCCAAGAAGGAAGAGCCAAAAAAUCUGGAGGCAGCAGAAGCUGAGCUUCUGUGAGCACCAGAGACCAGUCGACCCAGCCCAAGCAUAUUGUUACUGUUUUAUUAAAGGGGUUGAUUUGGAGAAUGUUGUGUUUGCAAUUCAGCAUCAUGCCUUGGAGCCUUGAUUUCAAGCCUUUAUUUAUAUGCUUAAUUGUUGCUAUGGAAAUUCAAUAUUUAAAGAGGUAAUUAUUGCUGAUCUUGUUGCAUGUGUCCAUUUCUGAUGUCCAGCUGUUAGCUCUUUAGCUCCAGUCUAGCAGAUUAAUUACUACUAUUGAUUACUUUGAGCUUCUCUCUUCACACCUGCAGUCUGUGUAAUUAGCCGGUGGCCUCCUCUGAAAAUUAGGAGCAGUUUCAUUUUGGCACCUUGCCAUUUCUCAGCCAUGUGCAUUACACUGAUGAACAAAAGCAAAUCUAUUUUAAAUAGAGAUAUCUGGGCAAUGAACUCUUUGUAUUUUUGAACUAUCUGUGGAUAACUCAAAUUAUACCAUGUUAGCAAAUAUUAGACUCCAUUGGAAGACCACAGAUAGUAAAAAAAACCCCAAAAAACAAAAAACCCCAAAACAAAACAAACAAAAAACCCAAAACCCACAAAAACCCAACAAUUCCAAACCACUGAUAUUUGUUCUGAGUGUCCACCAGUCAGUGGUGUCCUCGCUUUUUGAAGUUUAUUGUCCAUAGUGAUUUUUGCACUAAAUGGGUCCCAACUAUUUGAGUGCAAUCACUUCUACUUUCAACGUGCUUUUCUGAGGUGGAAUUGUUUUUUCCCUGCUCCGUGUGUGAGAUUUUUCCUGCUGUUCUUCCUGGAUGCUACCAGGGCAUGUCAGAGGGACAUUAAGCAGGGGCAUAGGAGGGUGUGCCCAUAUCCGGGAGACCCUUAUCUAUCCUCUCCCUUUCCAAGCACUGUGCUUGUUCCUGGCUAUUUACUGUUUUCCAGUGACCCCCCAAUGACCAUGCCACUUCUUGGAAAGAAAAGCCUGUUCUGAACUUCCCUCCCUUUGCACAUCAAGGAGGAAAAGACUGAGGGUCUGAAGGCUUUGUUUUAAGAAAGAAAAUAUACUACUUUUGCCAAUGGGGUCAUGGCUUCCUCCUCUCCAAAAAGAAACCUUUUCUUUAUGUGAGCCAGGUUGCUAAGCACAGGUCAUGCUAACAUUGUGUGAUUUCAACAGAAGCAGCGUGCUGGGAGAGUGAGGGGUGAACUCUGUCUUUGCUCUCUCUGGGUGAGCAUCCAGUCUAGAUUUAUAGCAGACCAAGGACAGCCCAAAAGCAUGAUAUGGGUGGCCUGUGAACUGAAGUAUGCUGAAAUUCAGUGUUUAGGAACUAACUUUAAUAUUAAUGCUGCGUGACUGGAUGGUCUCCAUGUAUCAGUGGUUUAAUGUGCUGUGGUUCAGGGUGGUGAGUCUCCAGAGUCAAGGUGGCAAUAAAGAUGUGCUCCACUUCACGGGUCAAACGCCAUUCCAAAAGUUGAGAAGUUUUGGGGAAGGGAGGGAAUUAAUCUCUUUUCUGGUUGAGUAACAUAGUUGUUUUAGACUAUUUGGUACAGGACUAGCCUCCAGACCAGAAGGUCCCCAGCUGGAAUCUCAUCACCGCCACUGUUUCUAGAUUAAAUUCUAAAUUGUGUACUGUCAUUUGGAGGCCUUCUGUGCAGGGUCUCACUGAGUCACCAGUUAUUAGGAAUGCCUCCUAUUAUCGCAGCCCUAAAAGCUAUUUGAACAGAAGCCUAAUGUGACUGUGAUUUCCAAGGACCAUUUGCUGUUAUUGCAGCUCUGCUUUGCUGUGAGUGAGAGAAACAAACCAAAGUUGCUUUCAGAUCACAUGAAAGGGAGGGACAGGGAAGCAGUGGAACCAGAGUGACAUUCAAGCUGCCAACAACCAUAAAUUCUCCAAAAAUAAACAAUAUUUUUAUUAACUAGAGCGGGGUGAUUUCCACUGCAAGAAAACGAAUGGGUUAAUUUUCUUCAAGCAGAUACAUUUCCAGGAUUCUGUAAUUCUUCCCAGUUUUCUAAGUAGCUGCAAAAAGCAGCUGCUGAGGAAGUACAUGGAGCCUAUGCACUGCUCCACCCUGUGGGCCAGAGGGACCUCCUCUAUAGAAGUGGAGGACAUACCAGAAAAGCAAAUGUCAGCUCUCUGGGAGAGGAAGGCAGUUACUUGUGCGCACAGAAUGGGAAACUACAAACAUAAAUAUUAUUCUGAAGGCACACAGGUGCAUGUGAGAAGUCUAUAUAAUGUGGGAGAGUUUGGAGUCUGAAUAAUAUAGUUUAGGGGGUGGAUUUCAGAGUGCUCUCGAUUCUAAUUUAUUGCUGUUUUUUUAUAAGACUUCUUAGUCCUAAGUUCCCUCCACUAAAUGAAAGUGGAUUUUUGCCCGAAGAAGGGCUGAUUAAGGUAAUAGUAAAAUAGGUCUUUUGUAAAGGAUUUUAGAAUGUGUGCUGUGAACAGCUUGCUGCUGUUUAGGGGUACUGAUGUGAAAUGGCAUUGAUCCAUUAGAGCUAGUGGUUAAAUGCUGGUUGAAUAUAUGGCCAAAUAUUUGUAUUAGUCCUGGGUAAUACAGUUGUAUACACAACUCAGCCCUGACUAUCCCUUAUCUAGCCUAGUGCUGAGGUAUUUGGCAAGGAUAAGGGGCUACGUCAGAGACACUAUUCAGAGCAUGAGGUGCCAGACGUCUUCUUCAUAUCAGAUGGUCUGCAGCCAGCUGCGCUUGCAGAAGGACAGACGGCUGGUGAGGGAGAAGACAACUGGAAGCUGGGACCAUUACAGGAAGGCAAUGGUGCUGCCAGCUAUUUGCCUUCCCUGUUCCCAGCUGGAUAUAUCCCAUCUAAGAUGCUGCUGUACUGUCUCAAGCAAACAGAUUAGCAAAUGGGAAGGAAGUUCAGCUAGCUGUGGGGUAACAAAUAGGUGGCCAGACAGAAGAGAGAGCAAAUGUCUUUAUGCAUCCAUGUUAUGUAUCCAAGUGUUCACAGCACUUCGAUUUGGCACAGGCUGAGUCAUGGGGGUGCUUUUGUGGCUGUCUUACUGUACUUUGAGAUCUCUGAAAUUUAGGGCUGAAGUUUCAAAGAUUUCAAAGUAGCCAAAAUCCCACCUACUGCAGCAGGGGUCAUGGUCUCUGGCCAGUGAAAGGUGCAGAAAGGUCAUUCCUGUGAUGAUUGUCUUUUGGGUUCAAAGAGUAGCAACUGAUUUAGUUCUGCUGAGAAAUAGCAAACCAGCCUGGAAAAAGUCAGGUCUGCAUGUACAAUGGAACUGGCUUGGCACCAGCUGCCUAUGUUGCAUGAUUUAAACCACCUAUAGGCCUUGCUUUGACCUAACCAAGAUGAAGCCUGGGACAAUUUGCUCCUACCCACACAAGAAGCUGGAUCUCAUGGCUUGGAGGUGCAGGUGAGACAUUCAUUCCCACAUUGAUGAUGAGGCAGACCUACCACACCUAUGGUCUGUGUCUGUAUGGUCUGUGUCUGUGUCAGGGCUAAUGUGCUGAGUAAAAGUGGUGACAAGCUGGAAGACUUCUGGGGCAAUUGCCUUCCUCCUGGAAGAAGAUAAGGUCACUGGUACCACACCUUUGGGGUUGUUGGUAAGAGAAGUGCUCUAUCUACAGCCUGUGACUAAAGCUGUGAUUAAAGGUAAUGAGUGUCUCAUCCUGAAAUAAAAUAAGUUUGCUUAGCUAACCAUUCAAAGGCACCUACUGGCAUUAUCAAAAACUUCUGAGUGGCCAAUUCAAGAGGAUCUGAAUAUGUGCACUUUUAGAGAUUGCCGCUUAUAUAAUUCUGUUGCCUGUAUUUUUAGAUGUGUAAACAGUCUGAUGUGUUGCUGUGCUUAGAGUAUGUUAAAGAUGUGACUUGAACAGCCUAUCACCCUUUCUGAGAGGUCUUGUAAUUCAAUUUCUCAUCAUUGCUGGAGCUUUUUUCCCCAUUUUACUAGAUUGAGAGGUACUGCCUCCUGCCACCAUACACUUGUGUGGCUCUCAACACAGCUAGUUCAGACUGAAGUCCUUUCAAAACACUAGUAAACAGGAAUAAGUGGAUAAGAUAUGUAUGCAAUGACGAAAGUGAGAUGCUCACAGCUGGCAAGUUGUGUAUCAGAGGUUUGUAGAUUUGGAGUGCCCUUUAUUUCUUGACUGUUUGUCUCAGUGCACUGACUUUGUUCAUAUACUAGGUGUUGCAUUUGGCCUUUGGCAUCAGCCUAUGCAACUGUCACUGACUUCAUCUGAAGCUGUGCUGAAGUGCUGUGCUGUGUCAUCUCUUCCUUCCCCAGGAAUUAAGUUGUUUGAAUUGUUAUGUGUGUGAUCCUUCUCCCACCUAAGGACACAAGGUGUUUGCACUUUGUCAGCUUUUUUUUUUUUUUCCUUUAGUCAGUUUUCUUUCAGUCAGGUACAGCUGUGAGAUGCUUUUAAGCCCUGGUUGUGUGUUUUUGUUUUGUUUUGUUUUGUUUUUUCUCUUAUUUUCUUCACCAGUCCCAUAAAAACCUGUUGCCAUUACCGGAUAGGACACAUCUGGGAGCACAGAGCACUCAGGAUAGGCUUUAAUCUCUGAUCUGCAUUUGAGGUGCUUGUUAAGUCUUGCUUCUCUGGGCUACCAGCUCAGGAAACCUUACCAACCUGCUGCCUAAAGACUGCUCCUGCCUGAUUUCAUCUACCUUGCUUACCUGGAGCAUUUAUUGUCAAAAGCUCUCCUGACAGGAAACAUUCUGGAUGUCAUGAAGUAUCCACAGAGAUUAAUACGAUAUUUGUCACCAAAACAUCUCCCAAAACCAUUGUACUGAUUUCUGUGUCCUAGUUGUCCUGCAUCUGUUUCCAGCCUCAGACUAUUACCUUUUAGGUAAAGGGGCUGAUGUAACCAAACUGUCUCUUGGUGUCUAUUGCUUAAUAAUGUGGCUUCUACGUUGUUCAUGAGCAAAGGAAAUAACAUGGUGCUAUAAGGAUCCUAGGAAAAUGGGGACAGUCUGGGUUCUUUAUAUGACUUCAGGAUGCAUUUAAAAACCUUGUACUGCAUUCUUGAUGUAAAAUCGCCUUCUUGAAAGCAUUUAUUUUAUAAGUCACACUUUUCCCUCUCAGCAUAUAAAUAUACGUACAUGACAUGUACUAUGCAUGACAUACAUGAGAGAUUUUUGUCCCUAAAUAGGGAAAAUGUAGGUUGGUCUGUGUUUUCAUGAGCCUAUGUGUCCCAUCCACAGUAUCAGCUCUCACCCUAAUGAGCUGAAGCUACAUUAGCAAAAUCUCAGGCAGAUAAAUUGACAUUAAACCUUGGUUUGAUGAUCCUAGUAAGACAUUCAAUUAAUUCUAUUUUGCUACAAGCUAAUUUAUGACUUUGUGUUUAUGAAAAAAAAAAAAAAAAGUUGGAUGUACAAAUCAGUAGGAGACAAGGUAAUGAAUUAUUCUACCUUCCUUCAUGCUCUUGUCUUCACACUUCGCUAGUAUAAGAAUGGAAGAGGAAAUAUGAAAGAAAUGUCUUUUGAUGUAUGAAAUGUGGGUAUUUUCUCAUACUGUGCUGUAUCUAACUGGUGUAAACACAUAAUCAAGCCCUCUAGGAGAUGCUAAUUAGUGCAGUAAAUGUUAGUUUAUUAAUUGCCAUUACAUUUCUCUUUGUUUCACGAGCGAAUGUUUCUUUUCAGGAGAACAGAUUUGAUACGGUGCGUCUGUAGAAUUUGUUUGUGUUCAUGGCAAAUGAAGACAAGUAGCCUAGCAAAGCUGUGAUGAAUUAACAGCAGUCCAUGCGAUCAACGUUCCUGUAACGGAGUCCACAAAGUGCAUGGGCUUCUGUGUGAUCUGAGAAGAAAAACAACACAAAACAAAAAGCCCCAGAGGAUUUGAUAACAAUUUUCUGCUCUCUCUCUCUACUUGGUGUGUUUUUAAUGAGCCCUCCAAAAGCACAGGUAGUAAAACUUUCCCUUUUUGAUGUGGCAGAAUAUACUGCCAAGACAUACUGCAGGAGAGGUACUUCAAAGGCAAACAGCCAGCAAAUACAAUUACAUUAGGUGAGGCUGCUGGGUAUAAUUGAGUUCCUCCCAUCCUUGGAAAGUGAUAGAAGACAGUCCCUUAACAAUUCCUUCUUCCUGCUUCUCCAGCUUGUUGUUAUCAAUCAAUACUUUCCCUGUGAUGUUCACAUUUGUAAACUAUACCGUUAUCACAUGCAACGUUGCCUGUGUUGGGUACAGCGAGCCAAGAUUAUGCCUACUGAUAGAUAAUAUAGGGUCAAGUGAACAGUCCCCUGGUAUGCAGCAGUAGCGUGGGCUGUGGAGAAGGCAGAAGGAACAUCCAGGGGUCUGGAAGCCAUCCCUUCCCCUCUUGGGAGGUGGCCAAUAACUGCUGGAAAGGCUCCUGCAAGUGGGAUGCUGGUGCUUCUGGGAAGCAGUGGAGUGGGCUGUGUGUGUUGAAGCAGGUUGGUGACCCAGGAGGACCAAGGUGGGAAGUGAAUUUGCUGGGUGGAUCUAGAGCGUGGCUUGACUGAACUCUCAGGACCUAUUUUUAGACUUGGUAUGGGGAAAAAAGCUCUACAUGUUUUUUAUCACUUUGCUUGUGAAGCCAAAACAUAGGAGGAGGUUUUUUUCCUUGUGUUUGGAAUGUGAGCUUUUGUUUUGUUUUCAUGGACUUUUGGUUAAAACACAACUAAACCUAAAUAUCUCUUCAUAGUGCUUCCCCUGCUGAAUUAGCUCUACAAAGUCUUACAAUACAAAAAAAAAUUAAUAUCUUUCACCUAGACUUUUGAAAAUGCUUUUAAAUUGUUCUCUUUAAUUAUUUGCCUAGGUAAAUUUCAGUAGGCCACUGAAAAUAUGAGGCUAGAAUGCUCAUUUGAUCUUUAUCUUUGAGAAAAAAGUUGCUUUGCAAUCUCGUUGAAUAGCUUGAGUCCUUAACCCCAUUCAGGGCAGUUUCUAGUUUGCAUUUUUAUAAAAAUAACAAAUCCUAUGUCAGAAGCAUCUAGCUUGGACUUCUCUGGAUGUCUGUUGAAGAGUCAGGAUCCUUUUUGCUUCUUUCCACUAAGGUCUUUCCUCUGCGCUUCAUUUACUACACACGUCAAAAGCAGGCAUAGCUGACUCUCUUCUGGGACUCUGCAUGGCAUCACUGGGUGCUGCUGCUGCAGGUUUCCAUUUGCAUGAAGCCAUCGAUUUAUUUUCUGCUGAUAAAUAAUCAUAACUAGCAUAUAAAGAUAUAGUUCUGUGCUGACUGAAGCACUGAAUUAGAAGGUUCUGUCCAAAUGUUUCCAUGAUGAGUAAAAGAAAAAAAAAAUGGAACACCUUUUUAUUUUUCAGAUUAGAAAGAUUUAAAAAAAAAAAUCAUACUGUGGUGUUCAGUGUAUUGCUUCACCACAGCUCGAGCAAAAUUCCACCUUUUUAGUAAGUGGACUUUUUUGCUGGACUCUGGUGGCAGAAGUAUGGUAGAGGAUGGACCUAGCUUAGACAUUUGCUGGAAAUCUGGAGACAGAAACUGAUUUGUCCUCUGAGACACAAUCCAUAUAUGCAGAAUCUAUCUGAAUAAAUGAGCCCCUUACUUAACUGGGAACGUACUGUAUAUUCCAUCUGCAGACUGAAUGAUUGCUCCAUUUCAAGCCUCCUGACUCCCAUGGAGCCAUCUGGUACAUGCUAGUUUGUACGAAUAGGUGAGGAUUCCUGCUAACACAACAGCCUUCAACUAGGCAGAGUGCUGAUAUUUAGCACUCUGCUUCACAUCUGCGUACAAAGCUGUAACAAAAACCAAAACAUUUUCUGUCUUUAAUGUUUAAAUGAACCUUCCUUUUUCUCCUGGAAAUUCAAUUGGGACAGGAACAAUUAAUACAAUUACAUCAGAAAAUUGGUUGAGCUAUUAAUACAUCUAACUAAGCAGAGAUUUCAUGUUAUAUAGCAUCGUGAAUUUUUUUCCCUCAUUGCUUGCUUAGGGCUGAGCAGAAAGGAGGGUGGAAGAGGGGGAGAAGGUGUGUGUCAUACAGAUACUUUUAUAUCACUUUGAGAUAUUGUCGGAAAAUAAAGCUAAUGGAUAUAAUUAAUGUCUGUAAGCAGCAGCAGCCCGGUCAUAGGGCUUAUUAAUAGAUAUGUAAAGGCUGCAUCAUUUUUGGCUGCCCUGCUGUGCACAAGAUGUCUAUAUGGCAUUGGCAGUCUGAGGCUCAGCACCACAGAGAAGGUGCCUCGGUGGCAGCUGUAUCACUCCAAAGGAUUUUAGUGAAAGUGGAUGGAACAAGUUGAAUAGGGGAAAAAGGGAAGUGGACUAAAAGGCAAAGGCUGCCUGUUUUAUUCUCUGGCACCCAGAUCUACAGACAUAUUUAAGACACCUAAGACAUAGCUGAGGAGACCUGUGUGCUCUUUGAAAAUUUAAAAAGAAUAAAGUGACAUCAGAUCCCUCUUUUCCCCCAGAGGCCCCCAGAGCCUGGAGGGGAAGAAGGCCAGGAGGACUUUUCAGCUGCUCUGUCAAAUGUGCUGCUGUCCUGGCCUGGUGUCCCUCCUGCCUCUGGAGACUGUAGGGAGCUCUCAGCUCAGAAAAGUCCCACCGCACCUUGUUCUCUACAGAGUUUUUGCAGUGUAUAGGCUACUUUGGCUUAAUCUGGGGUGAGAACUUGCAUCUGUAGUAGACACCUAUCUGGGUUUGGUUUGACUCUAUUUAUUUAUUCAUUUAUACAUUGGAAACAAUGGUGGAUCUUUCCAAUAAAAGUAUAAUUUUUCAGCCACUCGUUCUAGCUCCAGCUUCUGAUGCAUUCUGACUAAAGAGGAAUCAAUGUGAAUAGUGCAAGGACUUGUGUUUUCCUGUAACAGGAUGGAGUGAUUUCUCAUGUAGUGUUACAGUAAUGACCAACGUGACACAGAAGGAAAAUUCUGUGACAAUAUGACGACAGUGAUUGUGAAGAGAAGCUGCUGAAUUAAUGUAACCAAUUGACAUGAGAUAAAUGCUUUCUGACCAUCCACAGAAUGAGGGGAUAUUUUUCAAGUUUUAGAUCUUUCUGCAUGACAAGAGGGAGACGGAAGAUUAAGUGAUACACUGUUUAGAAGCAGAGUGCUCAGUUUACAUUUAACUAAUAAUAGAUGUGUUGUAAGUAAGAAACUAAGCAAUUGUACCUAACAUCAUCAAUUAUUUCUUAGUAUAGUUGUAUUGUAUGUCAAAAUUUUCAAAAAUUGUAAUGCGUAUGUGAUAAUUGUGUGAAUAUAAGAAACGCAAGAGCAUCCAGUCACUGGAGCACUUAUGGAGAAUGAUCCUCAGUGUUCCCCAGUGCUGAUAAAAUAAAGAAUGCCACUCAACAGUAAAACUGACUCUGCUCUUAAGUUUAUUUCUUCAUUUCAACUGGACGUGUGUGAUGUAAAAGGUGCCAUCUUUCCUCAUGUAGUCUAAGAGCACAUGGUUAUGUUGGGGGAAGGCAUUGACAAAACUUACGCUUCACUUGUUUCUAACCUAAUGCAACAUCUUGACUCUCACUGGCCUCUCCUCCUCCAUCUCAAACCAGCAACAAAAAAUAUUUUUCUCAUGUAUAUUGUGUCUGCUGGUAUUGAGGAUUUUUUUCCAAAAGUCUUUAAAAAAGACAGCAUGCAGGAGGAACUUGCGAAAUCCUGCAAGUUAUAGGCUUGUCUGGGCCUUUCUGUAUUAUGAUACAAACCCCAAAGGAAUAGAAGAGAAAUGACAACUAGCUUUCAUGUGAUAUUGUGGCUGCCCUUAGGAGAUGAACAGUGAAAUAUGUGACUUUUGAAGAGAAACAUACGUAAUAGAGAGGCAGAAGGCUUAGAUGUAUCAGUGUGAGUAUAUGGGGAAAGAGAAAUCUGAACACAGUGCGGUUUGGUAUUCACAGCUCAUUUCUCCUUUCUGGGACAGAAAGGUCAGAGAAACACGAUACUUCCUCUUAAGCAGCAUUGCCAAAACCAGACAAGCAAGUGGGACUAACUGGUUUCCUCUAACUCCAGGGAGAGACCUGUGUUUGCUGCCUACCAGCUAUUCCAGCAAACCAAAAACCCUGUGAUGUGUCCUCUUGGUAACAGCAGCUGAGUGAAUAGAAGGUGUUAUAAGAAAAAGAGUUUGUGUCUCCCCAUGACUUGGUCCCCUAGGAGGGAAUUUAAUAAAAAUGGUAGAGCUGCCUCCUUCUGCCAGGACAUCUGCAUUUUGUGUGGUGGAGGUGCUUAUGCCAGCCCUGGUAUAGUGUCAUGGACUUCCUAAGGGCCAUUGCUGGGUGUCUUUGUGUGGUUAUGGUGGAAGCGAUCCUGGAUGUUUUCAGAAGCAAGGUUCUUUUAAGAGUGUUUCUGUGUCAAAAGUGCAAGGGUUCGUGGAUGUUCUGCGAGGUUCUCUAAGUGCAUAUAGGUACACAAAAAUAGGAAGCAGACACCGUCUCUCAAGAAAACAGGUACAACACUGUGCAGAUUCUUUUACACUCUGCCAGCCAUCCCUUGGACAUGUUGAGUCAUGGAUCAUUCUACACAAGUAUGUGGAAAGAAAGAAAUCAAAACUAGCUAAACAACUUGAAUUUGAGGUGGAUUGAUUAAAUUGCAUUAAGUCCCUGUGUAGAUGUUCUUGUUCAGAAUUAAAAUAAGAUAAGCCACAUAAAGGCCAAGUUAAUUCUGAGUAAGAUAAGUCUCAUAAAGGCUAAGUUAAUUCUGAAGGAGAAUAUGUACAUAGAGAUUUAAUGCAUUUUUAACUAAUCCAUUUUAGCAGUUAAUUCAGAUUAACCGUACUCAGUGUUCCUCUCUGGGAAAGCCCUUCAAGGGAACAAGACAAGGUAAAAUGCGAGGCUCAGAAAUGCAAUGUUUUUAAAGAUCCAGCACUGUCAAUUACAAAGCAGAUAAUUACCACCGCGGUAUUCCUGAGUUGAAUGGCUGCACCCAGAAUGACCCAUGUUAGUGCUGUCAGAGGCAGCAGCGGUCCUGCGAAGGACUCGCCAAGGGCAUCCUUGCUUCCAGAAAGGUGGUGUAGGAAACAGUGUGGUGUGCCAUUGAAGCAAGGGCUAACUCACUGCUAUGAGGAAUUUCGAUGGUUAAGGAGACUUCUGUGAUAGCAAAACGCAUCCUCCUCACGAUGAGUGUGGAGCUGGCUGAUACCUGUGCCUGCUCAUUGUUGGUGUGCAAGGGAGGCAGGAUGCAGUGUGAAUCUUAAUGGUUCGUAUCCUACCUGGAGUGAUGUAUUCUUGGCCCAAAUACUAUCUUUGCUCCCGUGUGUAAACCAAACGUUGCUUAGCCCUGUGCAGUCUCUUCUUUAGCUUAAAAAGCCAAAAUGUGGAGUUUAAACUUUAUUAUUGAUUUUAAAAAUUUAUUGUGAGCAAUAACUUAAAGGGAAACAGGAGGUUACGAAUAAAUAAUAAGGUGCAUAGGUGUACAGGGAAAAUACAGCAGUCCAUAAAUAUGGUUAAGAACUCAGCUGUACAGUAAAAAGAAGGGGUAUAAAAAUGUAGACAACUAAAGCAAUAUGUGUGCAGAAGAAUAAUAAUCUACCAUGAAUUAAAAUAUGCAAGUAUUGGGGACUAAGUUGCUUUUACUACUCUAUACAUUUUUUUUAAGUACCUAGAGGCCUUCAGGUAUGAGUGCUAAAAUAAAAAUAUUAUUAUUAUGGAUUUUGAGGGGCAGAUGAGUUGGAACUCAAGGAUGUCCCCUGUGCCUUAGCUCUGUUUCAUGUAGUUAAAUGCUUUGGGCCAAAUUUAUCCCUGGUCUGCUAUAUUUACUGUUGAAAGCACUUCAGAAAAGUGUAUAUUAAAGCUAUAUCUAAAGAAGCACUGAAUUCUGAACAGACAUCCAAAACAAGGCAAUAAAAUCAAAGAUGUUCUCUCAGGUCAUUUUAGUUUUGGGUGAGGGAAGCAAUUGCUCAAUCACAUCGGUCCAGUGAAUCUGAAACAACAGUGUGUGAAAAACAUGGUGGCAAAAUAAUGUCUCCAUGUGGGACAAGUGCUAACGCUAAUCACUGGCAAGGCUGUUUCUCGGUUUUUACUCAUGGAUUUUAUCCUAAUUUUUUCACUGAUUGCUCUUCUUCCCCAGUGACCCCUAAGGUAACUUUUCUCCCUGUUUCACAGGGAAAUUUGAGGCCAAAGUUUUUGCUGCAUUAUGAAGUUCAUGUAGGAAAAUUAUUCAUAGUGCCCAUGUGCAGCAGCCUGCAAAGCAGUGGUGAUUUUCAUGCAGACAAUGAAAAGCUAGGGCUGAGCCUUGGAAGAUGACAUCAAGGCUGCAGUAUAUCUGUAUCUGCAGCCUAAGAGGCACCCUGAGCACACCUGUAGCAGCAAGUGUGUUUUGCCACUGUCAGUGUCAGAGAUGGCUUGGGCAAUAGUAUGGUAAU